ACCCGCUGAACUUAAGCAUAUCAAUAAGCGGAGGAAAAGAAACCAACAGGGAUUGCCUCAGUAACGGCGAGUGAAGCGGCAUAAGCUCAAAUUUGAAAUCUGGCUCUUUCAGAGUCCGAGUUGUAAUUUGUAGAAGAUGUUUCGGGUGUGGUUCCGGUCUAAGUUCCUUGGAACAGGACGUCAUAGAGGGUGAGAAUCCCGUAUGUGACUGGAUACCUACGCUCAUGUGAAACUCUUUCGACGAGUCGAGUUGUUUGGGAAUGCAGCUCAAAAUGGGUGGUAUAUUUCAUCUAAAGCUAAAUAUUGGCCAGAGACCGAUAGCGCACAAGUAGAGUGAUCGAAAGAUGAAAAGCACUUUGGAAAGAGAGUUAAACAGUACGUGAAAUUGUUGAAAGGGAAGCGCUUGCAAUCAGACUUGCGCCUGGUUAAUCAUCUGGGCUUCUGUCCGGUGCACUUGAUCAGGCUCAGGCCAGCAUCGGUUUGAGUGGUUGGAUAAAGGCUUAGGGAAUGUAGCUCUCUUCGGGGAGUGUUAUAGCCCUAGGUGCAAUGCAGCCUACUUGGACCGAGGACCGCGCUUCGGCUAGGAUGCUGGCGUAAUGGUUGUAAGCGACCCGUCUUGAAACACGG
rnacentral:rRNA from 1 species